rnacentral:rRNA from 1 species
UGGGGAAUAUUGGACAAUGGGGGAAACCCUGAUCCAGCCAUGCCGCGUGAAUGAUGAAGGCCUUCGGGUUGUAAAGUUCUUUUGGUGGGGACGAUGAUGACGGUACCCACAGAAUAAGCUCCGGCUAACUUCGUGCCAGCAGCCGCGGUAAUACGAAGGGAGCUAGCGUUGUUCGGAAUUACUGGGCGUAAAGGGCGCGUAGGCGGUUUGAUAAGUCAGGUGUGAAAGCCCAAGGCUCAACCUUGGAAUUGCGCUUGAAACUGUCUUUCUAGAGUUCGGGAGAGGUAAGUGGAAUUCCCAGUGUAGCAGUGAAAUGCGUAGAUAUUGGGAAGAACACCAGUGGCGAAGGCGGCUUACUGGACCGAAACUGACGCUGAGGCGCGAAAGCGUGGGGAGCAAACAGG